GGAAUAUUGGUCAAUGGCCGGAAGGCUGAACCAGCCAAGUCGCGUGAGGGAAUAAGGCCCUACGGGUCGUAAACCUCUUUUGCCAGGGAGCAAUGCCGUCCACGUGUGGACGGAAGGAGAGUACCUGGAGAAAAAGCAUCGGCUAACUCCGUGCCAGCAGCCGCGGUAAUACGGAGGAUGCGAGCGUUAUCCGGAUUUAUUGGGUUUAAAGGGUGCGUAGGCGGCCUGCCAAGUCAGCGGUAAAAUUGCGGGGCUCAACCCCGUACAGCCGUUGAAACUGCCGGGCUCGAGUGGGCGAGAAGUAUGCGGAAUGCGUGGUGUAGCGGUGAAAUGCAUAGAUAUCACGCAGAACCCCGAUUGCGAAGGCAGCAUACCGGCGCCCUACUGACGCUGAGGCACGAAAGUGCGGGGAUCAAACA
rnacentral:rRNA from 1 species